rnacentral:rRNA from 1 species
AUGGGGAUGAACGCCCUCACCGGGCUACGCCGACGAGGAUGCGCACGGUGGGUUCAACCCCAACGUCACCUUCCCCAUGGACACCCGGCCCAGCGGACGCCCACGCCCGCCUUCACCGGCGUGCAGUACCCUCCAUACAACUACUCGCCGCCCGCCUACGCGUCCUCCCCGACGCCCCCUCUCCGCCGUGGCGCGCGGCCCUUCUCGCACCUCGGCGACACCUACGAGACCGAGACCGACAUGGAUGACAUCAUCGCGAUAGGCUCGGCCGCGACCGCCGCGUCUCCCGGGUUCGCCACCCCGGACGACACCGUGGAUCUGAGCAGCGGCAUGGAAGACGAGCUCGGCUACGUCUACGGCGAGGAGGAGCAGGAGGAGCAGGAGGAGGAGGACGAGGAGGAGGAGGAGGAGGAGCCAGCGACUGUUCCGGCGAGGAGGAGCAAGAAGAAGAAGCGCGCGGCCAGGUCCGGCGAGCCGCGCAUCAAGUGGGCGUCCAAGGAGGAGGAAUGCCUCGCUGAAGCAUGGAAAGUCGUCUGCCUCGACCCGACCACCGGCACAAACCAGAGCAUCGAGACGUACUGGGAGCGCAUCAAGACCGAGUUCGACGAGCGCCAGCUCAUCGACCCCUACUUCAAAGGCGUCUACAUGCAGCGCGGGUCGAAGGCGAUGGCAAACCAUUGGGGGCGUAUCCAGGGGGCGUGCAACAAAUGGCAUGGGAUCGCCGAGGAGGUCGCGGCUCGCCCGGAGAGCGGCGCCAGCGUUGAGGAUCAGGGCAACAACGACGCCGAAUUCAAGUACCUCUACGUCUACAAGCGCAUAGACAUGUGCGAGAAGUGGGCGGAAGUCCGGCGCACCCUCGACAAGGCCAAGGAGACCUGUAAGCCGGACGCGCCGACUGUGGACGCAUCAGAAGGGCGGCCGGGGUGCAACAAAGCCAUCGAGCACUGCCUCGCCGACGCGCAAGCCCGGGCUGUCCUUCGUGAAGAGAAGACUGAGGCGCGGUGGUCGGCGUUGAUGUCAAGCAGCGCCAUCAAGCUCGACCUACUCCGGACCAACGUCACCAUGAAGAAGAGAAACACCGACCUGGCUUUCCUGCUGGGCGGGGCGGACAUACUCCAGAGCACCGACGAGGCGGUCAAGGCGUGGUACUUGACGGAGCGGGGCCUCAUCCUGAACCAGCUUCCAUCGACGACGCCGCCCACGCCGACGCCGACAGACCCCGCCAAGCCCGCGCACGCUGACGCCGCUGACGCCGGAGGCUGA